rnacentral:rRNA from 1 species
GACGAACGCUGGCGGCGUGCUUAACACAUGCAAGUCGAACGGAAAGGCCCUGCUUUUGUGGGGUGCUCGAGUGGCGAACGGGUGAGUAACACGUGAGUAACCUGCCCUUGACUUUGGGAUAACUUCAGGAAACUUGGGCUAAUACCGGAUAGGAGCUCCUGCUGCAUGGUGGGGGUUGGAAAGUUUCGGCGGUUGGGGAUGGACUCGCGGCUUAUCAGCUUGUUGGUGGGGUAGUGGCUUACCAAGGCUUUGACGGGUAGCCGGCCUGAGAGGGUGACCGGCCACAUUGGGACUGAGAUACGGCCCAGACUCCUACGGGAGGCAGCAGUGGGGAAUAUUGCACAAUGGGCGGAAGCCUGAUGCAGCAAAGCCGCGUGCGGGAUGACGGCCUUCGGGUUGUAAACCGCUUUCGCCUGUGACGAAGCGUGAGUGACGGUAAUGGGUAAAGAAGCACCGGCUAACUACGUG